UCUCCCCUUCCUCCUAGGUUUCCCUUCUUAAAUAUUAGCAGAGGCACGGCCACCAUCGUUAAUUGGCUUGGCUUUGGCCAGAGGCAGGUCUGACUUGGAGCUGGGGGAGUUUCAAGAAGCUUCUCACAGGGGGCCACCACUGUAG